CGCGAAUUCGCCCUUCGGGGUGCAGCAGGCGCGAAACCUUUACAAUGCUGGCAACAGCGAUAAGGGGACCUCGAGUGCCACGAUACAAUCGUGGCUGUCUAGUUGCCUAAAAAGCAAUUGAUAGCAAGGGCCGGGCAAGACCGGUGCCAGCCGCCGCGGUAACACCGGCGGCCCGAGUGGUAACCGCUAUUAUUUGGUCUAAAGGGUCUGUAGCCGGCUUAGUCAGUCUUUUGAGAAAUCUGGCCGCUCAACGGUCAGGCGUUCAGGGGAUACUGCUAAAGCUCGAGACCGGGAGAGGUGAGAGGUACUUCAGGGGUAGGGGUGAAAUCUUGUAAUCCUUGAAGGACCACCAGUGGCGAAGGCGUCUCACCAGAACGGAUCUGACGGCAAGGGACGAAAGCUAGGGGCACGAACCGGAUUAGAUACCCGGGUAGUCCUAGCCGUAAACGAUACUCGCUAGGUGUCGGCCACGGUGCGACCGUGGUCGGUGCCGUAGGGAAGCCGUGAAGCGAGCCACCUGGGAAGUACGGCCGCAAGGCUGAAACUUAAAGGAAUUGGCGGGGGAGCAC
rnacentral:rRNA from 1 species